GAGUAUCAGAUGUCAUGAUGAUAUAGACAUCACAACAUUGGCAUACUAACGUUUGUGAUUCUCUGAGUCUGUCAAAUCUUCCUUGGUUUUGAUCAUGGCCUCGUACAAGUUGCUAAAUU